rnacentral:rRNA from 1 species
AGUGAACGCUGGCGGUAGGCCUAACACAUGCAAGUCGAACGGCAGCACAGUAAGAGCUUGCUCUUACGGGUGGCGAGUGGCGGACGGGUGAGGAAUACAUCGGAAUCUACUUUUUCGUGGAGGAUAACGUAGGGAAACUUACGCUAAUACCGCAUACGACCUACGGGUGAAAGCAGGGGAUCUUCGGACCUUGCGCGAUUGAAUGAGCCGAUGUCGGAUUAGCUAGUUGGCGGGGUAAAGGCCCACCAAGGCGACGAUCCGUAGCUGGUCUGAGAGGAUGAUCAGCCACACUGGAACUGAGACACGGUCCAGACUCCUACGGGAGGCAGCAGUGGGGAGUAUUGGACAAUGGGCGCAAGCCUGAUCCAGCCAUACCGCGUGGGUGAAGAAGGCCUUCGGGUUGUAAAGCCCUUUUGUUGGGAAAGAAAAGCAGCAGGUUAAUACCCCGCUGUUCUGACGGUACCCAAAGAAUAAGCACCGGCUAACUUCGUG